CUGGAGGACCGAACCGACUAAUGUUGAAAAAUUAGCGGAUGACUUGUGGCUGGGGGUGAAAGGCCAAUCAAACCGGGAGAUAGCUGGUUCUCCCCGAAAUCUAUUUAGGUAGAGCCUUGAGCGGACACCUUCGGGGGUAGAGCACUGUUUCGGCUAGGGGUCCAUCCCGGAUUACCAACCCGAUGCAAACUACGAAUACCGAAGAGUGAUACUCAGGAGACACACGGCGGGUGCUAACGUCCGUCGUGGAGAGGGAAACAACCCAGACCGCCAGCUAAGGUCCCAAAGUCUAUAUUAAGUGGGAAACGAAGUGGGAAGGCUUAGACAGCUAGGAUGUUGGCUUAGAAGCAGCCAUCAUUUAAAGAAAGCGUAAUAGCUCACUAGUCGAGUCGGCCUGCGCGGAAGAUGUAACGGGGCUCAAAUAUAGCACCGAAGCUGCGGCAUCAGUAGCAAUACUGUUGGGUAGGGGAGCGUUGUGUAAGCGGAUGAAGGUGUGUUGAGAAGCAUGCUGGACGUAUCACAAGUGCGAAUGCUGACAUAAGUAACGAUAAAACGGGUGAAAAACCCGUUCGCCGGAAGACCAAGGGUUCCUGUCCAACGUUAAUCGGGGCAGGGUGAGUCGGCCCCUAAGGCGAGGCUGAAAAGCGUAGUCGAUGGGAAACGGGUUAAUAUUCCCGUACUUGGAUAAACUGCGAUGUGGGGACGGAGCAGGUUAGGUUAUCGCACUGUUGGAUAUGUGCGUUUAAGUUUGUAGGUGUGAAGUUUAGGCAAAUCCGGACUUCUUUAACACUGAGAGAUGAUGACGAGGCUCUACGGAGCUGAAGUAACCGAUACCACACUUCCAGGAAAAGCCACUAAGCUUCAGGUUUAUCUAAACCGUACUGAAAACCGACACAGGUGGUCAGGUAGAGAAUACUCAGGCGCUUGAGAGAACUCGGGUGAAGGAACUAGGCAAAAUAGCACCGUAACUUCGGGAGAAGGUGCGCCGGCGUAGAUUGUAAGGGCUAGCCCCUGAAGGUUGAACCGGUCGAAGAUACCAGCUGGCUGCAACUGUUUAUUAAAAACACAGCACUCUGCAAACACGAAAGUGGACGUAUAGGGUGUGAUGCCUGCCCGGUGCUGGAAGGUUAAUUGAUGGUGUAAUCGAAAGAGAAGCUCCUGAUCGAAGCCCCAGUAAACGGCGGCCGUAACUAUAACGGUCCUAAGGUAGCGAAAUUCCUUGUCGGGUAAGUUCCGACCUGCACGAAUGGCAUAAUGAUGGCCAGGCUGUCUCCACCCGAGACUCAGUGAAAUUGAAAUCGCCGUGAAGAUGCGGUGUACCCGCGGCUAGACGGAAAGACCCCGUGAACCUUUACUAUAGCUUGACACUGAACAUUGAAUUUUGAUGUGUAGGAUAGGUGGGAGACUUAGAAGUAGUCACGCCAGUGAUUAUGGAGUCGUCCUUGAAAUACCACCCUUUAACGUUUGAUGUUCUAACGAAGAUUACGAAACGUGGUCUCGGACAGUGUCUGGUGGGUAGUUUGACUGGGGCGGUCUCCUCCCAAAGAGUAACGGAGGAGCACGAAGGUUUGCUAAUGACGGUCGGACAUCGUCAGGUUAGUGCAAUGGUAUAAGCAAGCUUAACUGCGAGACAGACAAGUCGAGCAGGUACGAAAGUAGGUCAUAGUGAUCCGGUGGUUCUGAAUGGAAGGGCCAUCGCUCAACGGAUAAAAGGUACUCCGGGGAUAACAGGCUGAUACCGCCCAAGAGUUCAUAU
rnacentral:rRNA from 1 species